rnacentral:tRNA from 1 species
GGAGGAGUGGCUCGAGAGGUUUAAGGCACCGCUCUUGAAAAGCGGAAACCGGGUAACUGGUUCGUGAGUUCGAAUCUCACCUCCUCCGCAA